GAUGAACGCUAGCGGCAGGCUUAAUACAUGCAAGUCGUGGGGUAGAGAGGUGCAUGCACUUUUUGAGACCGGCAAACGGGUGCGGAACAAGUACACAACCUUCCUUGUAGUGGGGGAUAGCCCAGGGAAACUGGGAUGAAUAACCCUUAACAUGUAGGGCAGGCAUCUCACUGAUAUUAAAGCAGCCAUGCGCUAGGAGACGGGUGUGCGUAUGAUUAGGUAGUUGGGGGGGUAACGGCCCACCAAGCCAACGAUCAUUAACUGGUGUGAGAGCACGACCAGUCACACGGGCACUGAGACACGGGCCCGACUCCUACGGGAGGCAGCAGUAAGGAAUAUUGGUCAAUGGACGCAAGUCUGAACCAGCCAUGCCGCGUGGAGGAUGAAGGUCCUCUGGAUUGUAAACUUCUUUUAUCUGGGACGAAAAAAGGGAAUUCUUUCUCGUCUGACGGUACCAGAUGAAUAAGCACCGGCUAACUCCGUGCCAGCAGCCGCCGUAAAAC
rnacentral:rRNA from 1 species